rnacentral:rRNA from 1 species
UACGUAGGUGGCAAGCGUUAUCCGGAUUUAUUGGGUGUAAAGGGCGUGUAGGCGGGAGCGCAAGUCAGAUGUGAAAACUCAGGGCUCAACCCUGAGCCUGCAUUUGAAACUGUGUUUCUUGAGUGCUGGAGAGGCAAUCGGAAUUCCGUGUGUAGCGGUGAAACGCGUAGAUAUACGGAGGAACACCAGUGGCGAAGGCGGAUUGCUGGACAGUAACUGACGCUGAGGCGCGAAAGCGUGGGGAGCAAACAGG